UGGCUCAGUUGGUAGAGCAUGGUGUGUGCAACGCCAGGGUUGUGGGUUCGAUUCCUAC
rfam:Salmo salar isolate Sally breed double haploid chromosome ssa14, whole genome shotgun sequence.